rnacentral:rRNA from 1 species
AACGAACGCUGGCGGCAGGCCUAACACAUGCAAGUCGAGCGAGGUAGCAAUACCUAGCGGCGGACGGGUGAGUAACGCGUGGGAACGUGCCCUUUGCUUCGGAAUAGCCCCGGGAAACUGGGAGUAAUACCGAAUGUGCCCUUCGGGGGAAAGAUUUAUCGGCAAAGGAUCGGCCCGCGUUGGAUUAGGUAGUUGGUGGGGUAAUGGCCUACCAAGCCGACGAUCCAUAGCUGGUUUGAGAGGAUGAUCAGCCACACUGGGACUGAGACACGGCCCAGACUCCUACGGGAGGCAGCAGUGGGGAAUCUUAGACAAUGGGCGCAAGCCUGAUCUAGCCAUGCCGCGUGAUCGAUGAAGGCCUAGGGUUGUAAAGAUCUUUCAGGUGGGAAGAUAAUGACUGUACCACCAGAAGAAGCCCCGGCUAACUCCGUGCCAGCCGCCGCAGUAA